UGCUGGCAGCUGGAAGAAAGCCACCUGGCUGAGCUGCUGCUCAGAACAUCCUGGGAGGAGUUCCAGUGUGACCUGCUCUACUACCAGUACAUCAGAUUGUUCUAGCAUGGGAUCAUAUACAAAGGUACAUUGGGAAUGUCGACUCCCUAAGCUUACAGCAGUGCCGUGUUCCCUUCCUGGCUGACGUGAUUUAGCACCUGCUGCAGCUGGCCCAGUCUUCAGGUUCAGAUGGAUUGCUAAAUAAAGAAAAAGAAGA